rnacentral:rRNA from 1 species
UACGUAGGUGGCAAGCGUUGUCCGGAUUUAUUGGGCGUAAAGAGCGUGUAGGCGGCCAUGCAGGUCCGUUGUGAAAACUCGAGGCUCAACCUCGAGACGUCGAUGGAAACCGCAUGGCUAGAGUCCGGAAGAGGAGAGUGGGAAUUCCUGGUGUAGCGGUGAAAUGCGCAGAUAUCAGGAAGAACACCCGUGGCGAAGGCGGCUCUCUGGGACGGUACUGACGCUGAGACGCGAAAGCGUGGGGAGCGAACAGG